GACGAACCGUGCGAACGUUUAUUCGGAAUCACUGGGCUUAAAGCGCGUGUAGGCGGGAGGGCACGUCCGUCGCUGAAAAUCCCCCCGGCUCAACCGGGGGAACGGGCGCGGAUACGACCUUCCUGGAGGGGGCGUAGGGGGGACCUGGAACUUCCGGUGGAGCGGUGAAAAUGCGUUGAGAUCGGAAAGGAACGCCCCGUGGCGAAAAGCGAGGUCCUGGACGCCUACUGAACGCUGAGACGCGAAAAAGCCCAGGGGGGGAGCGAAACGGGGAUUAGAUACCCCC
rnacentral:rRNA from 1 species